CAUUUUUACCUCCCCCAACACAUGAAUGAUACUUUCCAAGCUUUCAGAAGUUUUACAAAGCAGUGCUUUUUGCGCACCCAAUCUGCAGGUGCAGCAAAGACCUUGGCAAGGGGCAAACUGAUUAUCACUUACGAAAACAGUUACAUCGUAUUGUUCAUAUUUCUUCAAGGUCUUGAGCAAAGCAUAAAUUCUCAUGAAAACGAAGCUAUUGCAGUUCCAGCAUCAGACAGCUAACCAGGUUUACUCUUUAUACUCUCACCACACCUUGAAUUGGCUCGUUGUUCCUUUUUCCUAUGCAUAUACUUCUUUGAGAAUUUGAUCUAAAGAGGCAUAGAGCAUGGGAAAAUGGGGCGACUGAGGUACUUCGCCAUUCAUUCCAAACUGUGCUGUCAAGAUGACUAUUGAAAUGUAUGGAGAGAAUGGACAUACAAAGAAAUGAAAGCCAUCUUUGAAGAGGAACUGGAGUUUUUUUUUCCUGUUAACAUUUUUUUAUAUUUCUGUUCAGUUGUUUCUGUUCAGUCUAAAUAGAGAUGUAUCACAUCAGUUCUGUGAAAAAAUAUUAUGAAAUCAUGUAAGCAUAUAUACUGCAUGUCAAAUAAACUGACGUUUCGUGCUCUGUUCAAAA